rnacentral:tRNA from 1 species
GGAGAGAUGCCCGGAGUGGUCUAUCGGGGAUCGGGACACUGUUCCGGUCGGGCUCACGCCUUCGCAGGUUCAAAUCCUGCUCUCUCCGC